AGCAGCCGCCGCGGGAAAACGAAGGGGGCUAGCGUUGUUCGGAUUUACUGGGCGUAAAGCGCACGUAGGCGGACUUUUAAGUCAGGGGUGAAAUCCCGGGGCUCAACCCCGGAACUGCCUUUGAUACUGGAAGUCUUGAGUAUGGUAGAGGUGAGUGGAAUUCCGAGUGUAGAGGUGAAAUUCGUAGAUAUUCGGAGGAACACCAGUGGCGAAGGCGGCUCACUGGACCAUUACUGACGCUGAGGUGCGAAAGCGUGGGGAGCAAACAGGAUUAGAUACCCCAGUAGUCCCUGUCUCUUAUAC
rnacentral:rRNA from 1 species